UACAGAGGUCUCAAGCGUUGUUCGGAUUCAUUGGGCGUAAAGGGUGCGUAGGUGGCGCGGUAAGUCGGGUGUGAAAUCUCGGAGCUUAACUCCGAAAUUGCAUUCGAUACUGCCGUGCUCGAGGACUGGAGAGGAGACUGGAAUUCAUGGUGUAGCAGUGAAAUGCGUAGAGAUCAUGAGGAAGACCAGUGGCGAAGGCGGGUCUCUGGACAGUUCCUGACACUGAGGCACGAAGGCCAGGGGAACAAACGGG
rnacentral:rRNA from 1 species